rnacentral:rRNA from 1 species
AUUGAACGCUGGCGGCAUGCCUUACACAUGCAAGUCGAACGGUAACAGGUCUUCGGAUGCUGCCGAGUGGCGAACGGGUGAGUGAUACAUCGGAACGUGCCUAGUAGUGGGGGAUAACUACUCGAAAGAGUGGCUAAUACCGCAUGAGAUCUACGGAUGAAAGCAGGGGAUGGCAAGACCUUGUGCUACUAGAGCGGCCGAUGGCAGAUUAGGUAGUUGGUGGGAUAAAAGCUUACCAAGCCGACGAUCUGUAGCUGGUCUGAGAGGACGAUCAGCCACACUGGGACUGAGAAACGGCCCAGACUCCUACGGGAGGCAGCAGUGGGGAAUUUUGGACAAUGGGCGCAAGCCUGAUCCAGCAAUGCCGCGUGCAGGAUGAAGGCCUUCGGGUUGUAAACUGCUUUUGUACGGAACGAAAAGCCCCGGGUUAAUACCCUGGGGUCAUGACGGUACCGUAAGAAUAAGCACCGGCUAACUACGUGCCAGCCGCCGCCGUAA